AGUUUUGAAAAUUUGCUUGUGCUUAAUAAAUCAUAUUGUAAAAAUCGUAAAAAAAAAUAUUUUCUAAGCUUGUAUAACAUUCAAGUAUUACAAUCUAUUUUUUUCAGUUAACUACUUAACUACUUCGAACAAUCAAAAUGUGUUGCGGACCUUGUGGGGCGUGUGGACCUUGCGGAGGCUGCUGCGGUGGCUGCUGCUGCCCAAACAUCACCAUCUACACGUGCUGUACCAAGAUCUGUUAACAUUCAUUGGCCGAGUGUCUCAUGAACCUCAAGACUUUGUGGAUUAGCGUUGGGGCGCUCGGUUCUCUAGAUGUAAGACUUAUUUGGUGACGUUUUGUGAAUAAAAUAUAAAAAUUA